rnacentral:rRNA from 1 species
AGGACGAACGCUGGCGGCGUGCCUAAUGCAUGCAAGUCGCACGAUCCUGCCUUCGGGCAGGAGAGUGGCGCACGGCUGAGGAACACGUGGGUACCAACCCUGGCGUGGGGGACAACGACCCGAAAGGGUCGCUAAUCCCGCAUACGCUCCUUCGGGAGGAAAGUGGCAACACGCGCGAGGACGGGCCUGCGGCCCAUCAGGUAGUUGGUGCGGUAAAAGCGUACCAAGCCAAUGACGGGUACCUGGUCUGAGAGGACGACCAGGCAGACUGGGACUGAGACACGGCCCAGACUCCUACGGGAGGCAGCAGCAAGGAAUUUUCCGCAAUGGGCGCAAGCCUGACGGAGCAACGCCGCGUGCCGGAAGACGGCCUUCGGGUUGUAAACGGCUUUUGUUGGGGAAGAAACAGACGGUACCCAACGAAUAAGCCCCGGCUAACUCCGUGCCAGCAGCCGCGGUAAGACGGAGGGGGCAAGCGUUGUCCGGACUCACUGGGCGUAAAGGGUGCGUAGGCGGUUCGGAGCGUCGGCACUGAAAGCUCCCGGCUUAACUGGGAGAGGUGUGGCGAUACGACUGGACUAGAGGCAGCGAGAGGUGUGCGGAAUUCCGGGUGUAGUGGUGAAAUGCGUAGAUAUCCGGAAUGACACACAAUGGCGAAGGCGGCACACUGGCGCUGGCCUGACGCUGAGGCACGAAGGCGUGGGGAGCGAACCGGAUUAGAUACCCGGGUAGUCCACGCAGUAAACGAUGUUGGCUCGGUGUGCGGCCGGUGCGGAAGCACGGCGGCGUGCCCAAGCUCACGCGGUAAGCCAACCGCCUGGGGACUACGAGCGCAAGCUUAAAACUCAAAGGAAUUGACGGGGGCCCGCACAAGCAGCGGAGCGUGUGGUUUAAUUCGACGCAACGCGAAGAACCUUACCCAGGCUUGACAUGGAACGUGCAAGCGGCACAGAAAUGAGUGACCUUACGAAGGGUGUUGCACAGGUGCUGCAUGGCUGUCGUCAAGCUCGUGUCGUGAGAUGUUGGGUUACGUCCGGCAAAGAACGCAACCCUCGCCGUCAGUUAUAUGUGUCUGACGGGACUGCCCAGAGUGGAGGAAGGCGGGGAUGACGUCAAGUCAGGCAUGGCCACUUACGCCUUGGGGCGACACACACGCUACAAUGUCGGCGACAGUGCGCUGCANACCCGCAAGGGGGAGCUAAUCGCCANACGCCGACACAGUGCAGAUCGGGGGCUGCAACUCGCCACCGUGAAGNCGGAGUUGCUAGUAACCGCGUAUCAGCCAUGGCGCGGUGAAUACGUACCCGGGCAUUGUACACACCGCCCGUCACGUCAUGGGAGUUGGUAAUGCAUGAAGUCCGUGGGCUAACCCAUUGGGAGG